GAUGAACGCUGGCGGCGUGCUUAACACAUGCAAGUCGAACGGAAAGGCCCUGCUUUUGUGGGGUGCUCGUGUGGCGAACGGGUGAGUAACACGUGAGUAACCUGCCCCUGUCUUUGGGAUAACAUCAGGAAAAUGGGGCUAAUAUCGGAUAGGAGCUCUUGCUGCACGGUGGGGGUUGGAAAGUUACGGCGGUUGGGGAUGGACUCGCGGGUUAUCAGCCUGUUGGUGGGGUAGUGGCUUCCCAAGGGUUCGACGGAUAGCCGGCCUGGGAGGUUGACCGGCCACAUGAGGACUGAGGUACGGCCCAGACUCCUACGGGAGGCAGCAGUGGGGAGUAUUGCGCAAUAGGCGGGAGCCUGAGACAGCAGCGCCGCGUGCGGGAUAACGGCCUUCGGGUUGUAAACCGCUUUCGCCUGAGACAAGGCGGGAGUGACGGUAAUGAGUAAAGAAGCACCGGCUAACUACGUG
rnacentral:rRNA from 1 species